GACACGCUGAAUAUAAAUCUGGCAGCAAACAACAUCUCUCUCUUUCUCUGUAUGGCUGUGAAUCCAGCGAGGUGAGCUUGGCUCAGGAGGAGCACUGUCUGGGUUUGUGCGCAGUUUGCAGACACAUUUGCGAGGGAGCCGUGCUGGAAUAUAUUCAGGGGUGAAGAACCGAAGGAGAAAGGGCGAAACCCUCCUACAGCCUGCGCUUUCUUCUGACUCUCUCUCUCUAUCUCUAUCUCUGGACUUUGGCAAAAUGGUUUUCCCGAAAUCUCAGUGACUGCGAUGUCAGCACCUCGCUCUCAUCUACCGCUCGUGGAGCACAGACUGAAGAAAUAAUAAUAAUUAUAAUAAAAACACACGUUAGUCGGGUCACGUGGUUUUCUCAAGAGGAAGAGAGAGGAAGAGAAAGAGAGCAGCCGUUCAUUUACGGCACACUGGAUUCAAGUAGCACUCGCCCCUGGCAGCUGAAGAUGAUGUUACUAUGGAAACAGUUUUUGCUGCUAUCAAUCAUGGAAUAUCUUGCAGAGUGUGUGGAUUAUAAGUCUUUCAAUGGGCCGAAAUGGCGAAUGGAGCCCAGCGAUCUGACAGUGGGCUCACUGGAGGAAGAGGCUACAAUGACCUGUGACGCAAAGGGCAUUCCUCCCCCUCAGUACAGAGACUGGUCUCCAGGGCAGUCCACAGGUGUUGAAGAUCUGAGCACCAUGAGGAGAGCAGACAGAUGAGCAGAUGAGCCUGGUGCUUUGGAUCCCACACCAGCAGUCAUAUCAAUGAUGUCACUCCCCCAUACAAAAUUGAUAUGAACAGCACAGGGUCGAUUCAAGUUCAGCCUUAGCCACACUGGAGACUUGGCACUUUCCAGACAAUCUCUGAGGCGAACGUAACCCCACUUCACACCUCCCUUCACUUUAUCUCUGUUUUCUCCUGCCAUCACUGCCUGUGCGGAUGUGUCACUUAUUUACCGCUGUGUGUCAAGUGCCCUUGUUCGGGCCUCACUUGCCUCACUACUAUUUUUAACCAACUGAAAACUGCUUAUUGACAUUGGAACGUUUCUUAUUUGCUUUGCUCAUGAAGACCUCACAUUAGAAGCAGAUGAUGAUUUGAGUAGAGCGAGAAAGCUAUUACAUUCUUAGAUGUCAAGAGCAUUUUGUUUUUGGCCCUUACACUGAUCCCUGCUAUGUUCAUGACAUUUACAGCUGCUCUUAGAGAUAAACAUGCUAAAAAGAAAAGAUAAUACAUAUACAUGGGUGAAAACAGUAAGAGGCUGUGACUGGAACCAAUGCAUUGAGUCGAGUGAUAUUCCAUCAUAUUUGCUCAUUUAUGGAUGUAUGGUUAACCUGUUGUGCCAUCGGCCAAAGCCACGCUUGACAGCAAAUAGGCAUUCUUAAGAAUAAAUUUGUGAAUUUCACAGCGUGGGUGGUGAAAACCAGAUCAUUGCCUUCCUUGUCUGUCAUUCUACCUCUAA